AUUGAACGCUGGCGGCAGGCCUAACACAUGCAAGUCGAACGAGUGGCGGACGGGUGAGUAACGUCUGGGAAACUGCCUGAUGGAGGGGGAUAACUACUGGAAACGGUAGCUAAUACCGCAUACCAUCAGAUGUGCCCAGAUGGGAUUAGCUUGUUGGUGGGGUAAAGGCUCACCAAGGCGACGAUCCCUAGCUGGUCUGAGAGGAUGACCAGCCACACUGGAGCUGCGCCCGGGUCCAGCCUCCGAGGGUAGGCAGCAGUGGGGAAUAUUGCACAAGGGGCGCAAGCCUGGUGCCGCCAUUCGGCGUGUAUGAAGAAGGCCUUCGGGGUGUAAAGUACUUUCAUCGUGGAGGCGUUACCCGCAGAAUAAGCACCGGCUAACUCCGUGCCAGCAGCCGCGGUAAUUC
rnacentral:rRNA from 1 species